rnacentral:rRNA from 1 species
GCCAGACUCCUACGGGAGGCAGCAGUGAGGAAUAUUGGUCAAUGGGCGCGAGCCUGAACCAGCCAAGUCGCGUGAGGGAAGAAUGUCCUAUGGAUUGUAAACCUCUUUUGUCAGGGAGCAAAGUCACCCACGUGUGGGUGUUGGAGAGUACCUGAAGAAAAAGCAUCGGCUAACUCCGUGCCAGCAGCCGCGGUAAUACGGAGGAUGCGAGCGUUAUCCGGAUUUAUUGGGUUUAAAGGGUGCGCAGGCGGAGGUGCAAGUCAGCGGUCAAAUUGCGGGGCUCAACCCCGUACUGCCGUUGAAACUGGGGAUCUAGAGUGUGCGAGAGGUAUGCGGAAUGCGUGGUGUAGCGGUGAAAUGCAUAGAUAUCACGCAGAACCCCGAUUGCGAAGGCAGCAUACCGGUGCACAACUGACGCUCAGGCACGAAAGCGUGGGUAUCGAACAGGAUUAGAUACCCUCGUA